ensembl:lncRNA
GUUUUUUUCCCUCCGGGCGUACGUCUCAUGCACUGUAUUUACAGCUGAACAGAUUCCUGUCUGUUGAGGAGCAGGCUAGGUUCUCUGCCAUCCGGGCUACAAUAUACUAAAUCUCACAAGCAAUAAAUCCAGCUGCUCAAAACGACCAUGUUCUUUAACAACGUUACAGUACAUUACCUCAAGAUACACCUUCUUAAAAAAAAAAAAAAAAUAUUGGCACCUUUCCAAGACAUUCCAACUUUUGGAAGCAAAAAAUGCAGAACUUUUAAUAAACCCCCAAACUGAUAAAUACAUUCAUUGAAUAGAUUUUAAAAAUAAAAAAUGAUAUUUCAUACAACAACAUACGUGGCAAAAUUAUUGGCACCCCCGCAUCAUAUUGAACGCAGUUGUAUUUGAAGCCGGACAUGCGGCAAAGAAGUACUCUACUAAUAAAACGUGACAAAAAAAAAUUGCCUGUAAUGAGAAUCCGUGAGCAUUAUGACGUCAUCCAGUUUAGAGAACUUGACACUGAUGGGUCGAAACAAAACCUGCACUACACGGCUUUGCUCUACUGUAUGUAUAGGCUCAAAAUUACCCGUUGAUUUGGUCGCCACCUGGUGGACCCAAAGAUAAAUGCAUACAAUUGACGUCAUCUUUCUCUUGCAUGAACAAUAUCAGUUGCUCAGCUCUGUUUUGGAUACUUAAAGGUUUAUUUUCCUCAUCUUUAGCCAUUUUAAUGGGCCGCAAAAAUCGGCUUAUAGAUUGGCAAAAUAUCAAAAAUAUAUAAUUUCUUCCCUUACUCCACAUGUACAUCCUCAAUUCCAAAAAAGCUGGGACGCCGUGUGAAAUGGAAAUAAAAACAGAAUGUGAUGAUUUGCAAAUCUCAUAAACCCAUGUUAUUUAUAAUAGGACAUAGAAAACGUAUCAAAUGUUUAAACUGAGGAACUGUACCGUUUUAACGGGAAAAAAUAAGGUCAUUUUGAAUUUGAGGGCCGCAACACGUCUCAAAAAAGUUGGCAAAAAAAGUAAAUGUUACUGGGAUUGUUGCAAAAUCUUUUUCUGUUUCAAACCCUCAUUUUAAUUUGGUAUUAUUCCUCCCUCCAGGACACACAUCCAAAAGUCUGAGUCUGGAACGUCUUAACAGCUGAGAGUCAAACACUCGACUCACGAACAGCUCAGAUGCUGAAAAGAGGUUUUGAGGUAUGUCGAGUCGACUCUCUAACAUCACCUAAAAGAGCUGAAUCAAAGAGCCGACUCUUGCUCAAACGACACAUCACUUGUCCCAGAUAAUUUGGUUCAGCUCGUCAAUAAGACUCGACUCGCUGCCAAUUCUUUUCCUAAACCGGGCGAGUUUGCGAUGCUAUGACUGAUGUUGGGUUUUUAUCUCGUUUAUUUGAUUAAAUGUGACUAAAAAAGCCAUUGCCUUAACCUUAAAAAAGAAGAAGAAGAAGAAAAGAGUCAUAUACGUGAGUCGGCGCUCCGCAACCGGCUCCGAAUCAAAGAGCCGACUCACUCGCAAACGAAGCAAUCAAGGAAGGAGACAAUGAGAGAAAAUGGAAGUAUUGUUUUGAGAUCAUAAAUACAUU